GCACCGCAACAUUUUUGCAAUGCCUGACUCAA
rnacentral:piRNA from 1 species